rnacentral:rRNA from 1 species
UACGUAGGGGACGAGCGUUGUCCGGAUUUACUGGGCGUAAAGGGAGCGUAGGCGGACUUUUUAAGUGAGAUGUGAAAUACCCGGGCUCAACUUGGGUGCCGCAUUUCAAACUGGAAGUCUAGAGUGCAGGAGAGGAGAAUGGAAUUCCUAGUGUAGCGGUGAAAUGCGUAGAGAUUAGGAAGAACACCAGUGGCGAAGGCGAUUCUCUGGACUGUAACUGACGCUGAGGCUCGAAAGCGUGGGGAGCAAACAGGAUUAGAUACCCGUGUAGUCCCU